rnacentral:rRNA from 1 species
GCCUACAGCCACACCACCCUGAGCGGGCCUGAUCUUGUCUGAUCUUGGAAGCUAAGCAGGGUCAUGACUGGUUAGUACUUGGAUGGGAGAUAGUAAAAACAUUUUACAGAUUUUAGUGCAAUAGUCU